GAUCACUCAAACAUUUGGAGAUAUGCUGUUUACUUCCGAUUCAUGUUUGAAAGAGUUUCCAUCCCCAGAAUCACUGAAAAGACGUGUUUUGAUAUCAACUAAGCCACCCAAAGAGUACCUUCAGGCGAAGGAAGUUAAAGAAACAGGUGCAACGAAAGGAACGGAUGAUACUGAAGCUUGGGGAAGGGAAGUUUCAGACAUUAAAGCCAGAUACAAUGAUAAGUAUGACUCUGAUGAAGGUGAAGCUGACGAUGAUGAUGAAGAAGAUCCCACCUCGCAGCAAAAUACAGCACCAGAAUACAAGCGUUUAAUUGCCAUUCAUGCUGGAAAGGGGAAAGGUGGACUGUCUGAUUGGCUGAGGGUUGAUCCUGAUAAAGUAAGACGACUUAGCUUGAGUGAGCAAGAACUUGGAAAGGCUGUAGUUACUCAUGGAAAAGAAAUUAUCAGGUUCACUCAGAGGAACAUUCUGAGAAUAUACCCAAAGGGCAUACGUUUUGACUCAUCCAAUUACAAUCCUUUCAAUGCAUGGACACAUGGAGCUCAAAUGGUGGCAUUCAAUAUGCAGGGCUAUGGAAGAUCACUUUGGUUAAUGCAUGGUAUGUUCAGAGCCAAUGGUGGUUGUGGAUACGUUAAGAAACCAGAUAUACUAUUGAAAGCAGGUCCCAGUAACGAGGUCUUCGAUCCUGAAGCAUCUUUGCCAGUCAAAACUACAUUGAAGGUCACCGUAUUUAUGGGUGAAGGGUGGUAUUAUGACUUCGAACACACACACUUUGAUGCAUACUCUCCUCCAGACUUCUAUGCAAGGAUAGGAAUUGCUGGAGUAGAUGCUGAUAUUGUAAUGAAGAAAACAAAGACUCUUGAGGACAAUUGGAUACCAACUUGGGAUGAACAGUUUGAAUUCCCAUUAACAGUUCCUGAAUUGGCUCUACUCCGCGUCGAAGUUCAUGAGUAUGAUAUGUCUGAAAAAGACGAUUUUGCUGGACAGACUUGUUUGCCUGUUUCAGAACUAAGACAAGGUAUUCGAGCAGUACCACUCCACAGCCGCAAGGGAGAUAAAUACAACUCUGUCAAGCUACUUAUGCGUUUCGAAUUUAUCUAAGUGUGAGUUUGUCUUAUCUUGUUUUGUUUUAUUCUGUUUGUGGAAAUAAGGAUUUUGCCAUGAUUUGCAAGCUUGCUUCUGUGUAUUUUGUGGUACGUUCUAUAUCUUUGUUAAUAUUAUGUGCCCAGAUAUGUAAAUAAGUUUGUGGUAAAAUGUGUGCAAUUUUUUUU
rnacentral:misc_RNA from 1 species